rnacentral:rRNA from 1 species
AGUAGGGAGCUUGCUCCCGGAUGUUAGCGGCGGACGGGUGAGUAACACGUGGGUAACCUGCCUGUAAGACUGGGAUAACUCCGGGAAACCGGAGCUAAUACCGGAUAGUUCCUUGAACCGCAUGGUUCAAGGAUGAAAGACGGUUUCGGCUGUCACUUACAGAUGGACCCGCGGCGCAUUAGCUAGUUGGUGGGGUAAUGGCUCACCAAGGCGACGAUGCGUAGCCGACCUGAGAGGGUGAUCGGCCACACUGGGACUGAGACACGGCCCAGACUCCUACGGGAGGCAGCAGUAGGGAAUCUUCCGCAAUGGACGAAAGUCUGACGGAGCAACGCCGCGUGAGUGAUGAAGGUUUUCGGAUCGUAAAGCUCUGUUGUUAGGGAAGAACAAGUGCGAGAGUAACUGCUCGCACCUUGACGGUACCUAACCAGAAAGCCACGGCUAACUACGUGCCAGCAGCCGCGGUAAUACGUAGGUGGCAAGCGUUGUCCGGAAUUAUUGGGCGUAAAGGGCUCGCAGGCGGUUUCUUAAGUCUGAUGUGAAAGCCCCCGGCUCAACCGGGGAGGGUCAUUGGAAACUGGGAAACUUGAGUGCAGAAGAGGAGAGUGGAAUUCCACGUGUAGCGGUGAAAUGCGUAGAGAUGUGGAGGAACACCAGUGGCGAAGGCGACUCUCUGGUCUGUAACUGACGCUGAGGAGCGAAAGCGUGGGGAGCGAACAGGAUUAGAUACCCUGGUAGUCCACGCCGUAAACGAUGAGUGCUAAGUGUUAGGGGUUUCCGCCCCUUAGUGCUGCAGCUAACGCAUUAAGCACUCCGCCUGGGGAGUACGGUCGCAAGACUGAACUCAAGGAAUUGACGGGGGCCCGCACAAGCGG